UACGGGGGGGCAAGCGUUGUUCGGAAUUACUGGGCGUAAAGGGCUCGUAGGCGGCCAACUAAGUCGGACGUGAAAUCCCUCGGCUCAACCGGGGAACUGCGUCCGAUACUGGAUGGCUUGAGUUCGGGAGAGGGAUGCGGAAUUCCAGGUGUAGCGGUGAAAUGCGUAGAUAUCUGGAGGAACACCGGUGGCGAAGGCGGCAUCCUGGACCGAUACUGACGCUGAGGAGCGAAAGCCAGGGGAGCAAACGGG
rnacentral:rRNA from 1 species